rnacentral:rRNA from 1 species
AUUGAACGCUGGCGGCAGGCCUAACACCUUCAAGUCGGGCGAGCUGCGGACGGGUGAGUCAUGUCUGGUAAUCUGCCUGAUGGAGGGGGAUAACUACUGGAAACGGUAGCUAAUACCUCAUUCCCUCAUAUUCACCCAUAUGGGAUUCUCUUCUAGGUGAGGUAACGGCUAACCAAGGCGACGAUCCCUCGCUGGCCUGAGAGGAUGAUCAGCCACACUGGGACUGCGACACGGACCAGACUCCUACGGGAGGCAGCAGUGGGGAAUAUUGCACAAUGGGCGAAAGCCUGAUGCAGCCAUGCCGCGUGUAUGAAGAAGGCCUUCGGGUUGUAAAGUACUUUCAGUCGGGAGGCGUUACCGACAGAAGAAGCACCGGCUAACUCCGUGCCAGCAGCCGCGGUAAUUC